CGUCACAUUACCUUUAUGACGCGCACCGAUUGUGACGCGGUUUGUAUUAUUGCCCCUUAGUUACCAAGCCGUGCCGUGGAGUCUUGCGUUACAUGUUACUUAUGAAAAAAAGGCGACAUGUUCGGGAUGACACUUGUCACCAUGGCGCUCCAUGAGGUGACCAAGAUUUUAGAGAAAAAAGCAGAAGACGACCAAGACAAACUGCCAGACCCGUCUCCUAUCCAUGUGCCGGACGAACUGGAAAGUAAAUAGUCCCAAAUCUUACUUGUAGGAACACCCGAAUCCUUAAUGUUCCCCCAACUCCCUCCGUGCCCACGACCGAAGAUCCUUCUGAGACACAGACGUAGACGAGCGCGCAACCGUGCAUAUGCAAAAGCGCUUAUCAAAUCACUUCCGGACGGGCUGAAGGUCUAGAGAAGAUACUAUUGAAAUAAAUAUGAAUGGAUA